rnacentral:rRNA from 1 species
UACGUAGGCAGCGAGCGUUGUUCGGAGUUACUGGGCGUAAAGGGUGUGUAGGCGGCUGUUUAAGUUUGGUGUGAAAUCUCCCGGCUCAACUGGGAGGGUGCGCCGAAUACUGAAUGACUAGAGUGCAGGAGAGGAAAGUGGAAUUCCUGGUGUAGCGGUGAAAUGCGUAGAUAUCAGGAGGAACACCGGUGGUGUAGACGGCUUUCUGGACCGUAACUGACGCUGAGACACGAAAGCGUGGGUAGCAAACAGG